UACAGAGGGUGAAAGCGUUAUCCGGAAUUACUGGGUUUAAAGGGUGCGUAGGCGGCUUGAUAAGUCAGAGGUGAAAGCCUAUCGCUUAACGAUAGAAUUGCCUUUGAUACUGUAAAGCUUGAAAGGGGUUGAGGUCAGCAGAAUGUGGCAUGUAGCGGUGAAAUGCAUAGAUAUGCCAUAGAACACAGAUUGUGAAGGUAGCUGGCGGGGACUACUAUGACGUUGAGGCAGGAAAGCGUGGGGAGCGAACAGG
rnacentral:rRNA from 1 species